UGAGGAAUAUUGCGCAAUGGGGGAAACCCUGACGCAGCCAUGCCGCGUGAGUGAAGAAGGCCCUAGGGUUGUAAAACUCUUUCAGAUGCGAAGAUAAUGACGGUAACAUCAGAAGAAGCUCCGGCUAAAUUCGUGCCAGCAGCCGCGGUAAUACGAAUGGAGCGAGCGUUGUUCGGAAUCAUUGGGCGUAAAGCGUAUGUAGGCGGAUAUGAAAGUCAGAAGUGAAAUCCCGGGGCUUAACCCCGGAACUGCUUUUGAAACUCCAUAUCUAGAAUCCCGGAGGGGUGAGGGGAAUUCCGAGUGUAGAGGUGAAAUUCGCAGAUAUUCGGAGGAACACCAGAGGCGUAGGCGCCUCACUGGACGGGUAUUGACGCUGAGAUACGAAAGCGUGGGGAGCAAACAGG
rnacentral:rRNA from 1 species